AGCAGUAGCCGCGGGAAUACGGAGGGUGCAAGCGUUAAUCGGAAUUACUGGGCGUAAAGCGCACGCAGGCGGUCUGACAAGUCAGAUGUGAAAUCCCCGGGCUUAACCUGGGAACUGCAUUUGAAACUGUCAGGCUGGAGUCUUGUAGAGGGGGGUGGAAUUCCAGGUGUAGCGGUGAAAUGCGUAGAGAUCUGGAGGAAUACCGGUGGCGAAGGCGGCCCCCUGGACAAAGACUGACGCUCAGGUGCGAAAGCGUGGGGAGCAAACAGGAUUAGAUACCCGAGUAGUCCCUGUCUCUUAACA
rnacentral:rRNA from 1 species